rnacentral:rRNA from 1 species
CUCCACCUCUUCCCAUUUCGAACAGAGAAGUUAAGCCCGUUAGCGCCGAUGGUACUGCGUCAAGUGGGAGAGUAGGUCGCCGCCAACC